CCUUUUAGCAUCCCUGAUCUCCCCCCAGAACUAUGAUCAUUGUGCAAUAAUUGGAUACAUAACCUUGGAAAUGAAUCUUUUGUUUUUGAACGGCAUUUUGAGAAAGAUUCUUUUAAAGAGGAUAUCAGGCUAAUCCAUUUUCUUUUGGAAACCAAUGAAAACUCAUAUGCAGAACCUAUUGAUCAACCUGGACUAUCAGCAUCUAAGGAAACAGCUCAAUGAAGACAUGAAUAGUGACAAAAAUAUCCCACUCUCAAUCCAUAUUGAAGAAUAAAUCAACUUUGUGCAACAUAUACAGAUAGAAUUGCCCAGUCAUUGUCCAUCAUAUGUGCUAAGGAAUGUUCAAGUGAAGAAUGAAGAAGUGAAGAUAAUGAACAAUCCUGUAUAAAGAAUACAAAAUUAAAAGUUUAAGAAUUAA